rnacentral:tRNA from 1 species
GGUGAGGUGGGUGAGUGGCUGAAACCACCGGUUUGCUAAACCGGCGUACUCUUAACGGGGUACCGCGGGUUCGAAUCCCGCCCUCACCG